CCUACGGGAGGCUGCAGUGGGGAAUAUUGGGCCAUGGGCGCAAGCCUGACCCAGCAACGCCGCGUGAAGGAAGAAGGCUUUCGGGUUGUAAACUUCUUUUCUCAGGGACGAAGCAAGUGACGGUACCUGAGGAAUAAGCCACGGCUAACUACGUGCCAGCAGCCGCGGUAAUACGUAGGUGGCAAGCGUUAUCCGGAUUUACUGGGUGUAAAGGGCGUGUAGGCGGGAAAGCAAGUCAGAUGUGAAAACCAUGGGCUCAACCUGUGGCCUGCAUUUGAAACUGUUUUUCUUGAGUACUGGAGAGGCAGACGGAAUUCCUAGUGUAGCGGUGAAAUGCGUAGAUAUUAGGAGGAACACCAGUGGCGAAGGCGGUCUGCUGGACUGCAACUGACGCUGAGGCGCGAAAGCGUGGGGAGCAAACAGGAUUAGAUACCCUAGUAGUC
rnacentral:rRNA from 1 species